UUAAGCGACUAAGCGUACACGGUGGAUGCCCUGGCAGUCAGAGGCGAUGAAGGACGUGCUAAUCUGCGAUAAGCGUCGGUAAGGUGAUAUGAACCGUUAUAACCGGCGAUUUCCGAAUGGGGAAACCCAGUGUGUUUCGACACACUAUCAUUAACUGAAUCCAUAGGUUAAUGAGGCGAACCGGGGGAACUGAAACAUCUAAGUACCCCGAGGAAAAGAAAUCAACCGAGAUUCCCCCAGUAGCGGCGAGCGAACGGGGAGCAGCCCAGAGCCUGAAUCAGUGUGUGUGUUAGUGGAAGCGUCUGGAAAGGCGCGCGAUACAGGGUGACAGCCCCGUACACAAAAAUGCACAUGCUGUGAGCUCGAUGAGUAGGGCGGGACACGUGGUAUCCUGUCUGAAUAUGGGGGGACCAUCCUCCAAGGCUAAAUACUCCUGACUGACCGAUAGUGAACCAGUACCGUGAGGGAAAGGCGAAAAGAACCCCGGCGAGGGGAGUGAAAAAGAACCUGAAACCGUGUACGUACAAGCAGUGGGAGCACGCUUAGGCGUGUGACUGCGUACCUUUUGUAUAAUGGGUCAGCGACUUAUAUUCUGUAGCAAGGUUAACCGAAUAGGGGAGCCGAAGGGAAACCGAGUCUUAACUGGGCGUUAAGUUGCAGGGUAUAGACCCGAAACCCGGUGAUCUAGCCAUGGGCAGGUUGAAGGUUGGGUAACACUAACUGGAGGACCGAACCGACUAAUGUUGAAAAAUUAGCGGAUGACUUGUGGCUGGGGGUGAAAGGCCAAUCAAACCGGGAGAUAGCUGGUUCUCCCCGAAAGCUAUUUAGGUAGCGCCUCGUGAAUUCAUCUCCGGGGGUAGAGCACUGUUUCGGCAAGGGGGUCAUCCCGACUUACCAACCCGAUGCAAACUGCGAAUACCGGAGAAUGUUAUCACGGGAGACACACGGCGGGUGCUAACGUCCGUCGUGAAGAGGGAAACAACCCAGACCGCCAGCUAAGGUCCCAAAGUCAUGGUUAAGUGGGAAACGAUGUGGGAAGGCCCAGACAGCCAGGAUGUUGGCUUAGAAGCAGCCAUCAUUUAAAGAAAGCGUAAUAGCUCACUGGUCGAGUCGGCCUGCGCGGAAGAUGUAACGGGGCUAAACCAUGCACCGAAGCUGCGGCAGCGACGCUUAUGCGUUGUUGGGUAGGGGAGCGUUCUGUAAGCCUGCGAAGGUGUGCUGUGAGGCAUGCUGGAGGUAUCAGAAGUGCGAAUGCUGACAUAAGUAACGAUAAAGCGGGUGAAAAGCCCGCUCGCCGGAAGACCAAGGGUUCCUGUCCAACGUUAAUCGGGGCAGGGUGAGUCGACCCCUAAGGCGAGGCCGAAAGGCGUAGUCGAUGGGAAACAGGUUAAUAUUCCUGUACUUGGUGUUACUGCGAAGGGGGGACGGAGAAGGCUAUGUUGGCCGGGCGACGGUUGUCCCGGUUUAAGCGUGUAGGCUGGUUUUCCAGGCAAAUCCGGAAAAUCAAGGCUGAGGCGUGAUGACGAGGCACUACGGUGCUGAAGCAACAAAUGCCCUGCUUCCAGGAAAAGCCUCUAAGCAUCAGGUAACAUCAAAUCGUACCCCAAACCGACACAGGUGGUCAGGUAGAGAAUACCAAGGCGCUUGAGAGAACUCGGGUGAAGGAACUAGGCAAAAUGGUGCCGUAACUUCGGGAGAAGGCACGCUGAUAUGUAGGUGAAGUCCCUCGCGGAUGGAGCUGAAAUCAGUCGAAGAUACCAGCUGGCUGCAACUGUUUAUUAAAAACACAGCACUGUGCAAACACGAAAGUGGACGUAUACGGUGUGACGCCUGCCCGGUGCCGGAAGGUUAAUUGAUGGGGUCAGCGCAAGCGAAGCUCUUGAUCGAAGCCCCGGUAAACGGCGGCCGUAACUAUAACGGUCCUAAGGUAGCGAAAUUCCUUGUCGGGUAAGUUCCGACCUGCACGAAUGGCGUAAUGAUGGCCAGGCUGUCUCCACCCGAGACUCAGUGAAAUUGAACUCGCUGUGAAGAUGCAGUGUACCCGCGGCAAGACGGAAAGACCCCGUGAACCUUUACUAUAGCUUGACACUGAACAUUGAGCCUUGAUGUGUAGGAUAGGUGGGAGGCUUUGAAGUGUGGACGCCAGUCUGCAUGGAGCCG
rnacentral:rRNA from 1 species